CAGUCUUUCGAACGUAUGUAGUGCAGGGAAUAUGUGGCCGGUUGAAUUUUUGGUGUGGUUUUUUUUGGUGGGGGGGAUAACUAUCUAUAUCAACUCGUAGCAAAAUGAUUCAAAGACACUACGAACUCCAGUGUCGACCAGCCACCAUGAGUGUAAAUUAGCCGUUUGAACGUGGAUGGACUUCAGAAGUCCUAUGGGCUGUGUCCACUCAAGAGUGUUGUGGCCUCUGAGGGUGACUACAGUUUCUUGGUCUGCCAACCUGGGUGUGAUUCCAUGAAAAUGUUCCAAUGGAGUUACUCCGAUGAGAGCAGUGCCGGUGGGUCAAGAGGACAGUUAAUUGGUCUGCCAACCUGGAUGUGAACCCCUGAAAAUACAGCAAGUAAUGCCAUUGGGAUCAGGUAAUGGGGUCAAAGACUUUGUGCCAAGGACAGGACUCAAGAACUGAAAUUCACCAAAUGAAUGAUCAGUGACUGACACAAAGAAACUACUUCAAUGCAAACAUUAGAGAAUGUCAAGUUUUAAUGGUGUACUUAAUACCAGAAAGUCACAGGGCUUUAAGCCCCACAGUUAAUCAGUGUGAAAGGCUGAAUUGUAUGGUGCUUUCUUGAGUGUGUCCAGGAAGAACUGCUCGUCCUGCAGAAAGUCACGAUCCUAAGAAGAUAAAACAAGUACAUUUAUCUACAAUAAAGAUUUUGAAACUA